AGAGGCUUAGUAUGAAGGAGAACACUUUCAGGGGACCAAGUCAGAGAUAAGUCUGCAACCACAGCAAUGGCCCUUUAGAAAGCAUUUAAGAGGCCUGGUGCUUUUUGAGCUGCUUUGAUGACGUGGCAAUGGCUGGAGGGGAAAAGCAGCGGCACAGCUGCCUGCCAUUGGCCUGGUCUUUUUCACUGUGCUCAGUGUUGUCAUCACGAAGCCUCUCAUGCAGCGCGAUGUCAGGAUGGGCCCAUGCGCGGGUGGAAGGCAUGUGGGGGCCAUGUUGCCAGCUGCGGAUGGACAGGCUUCUGAUAUCAGGCUGUGACAGCACUGUCAUCUCCCAAGAAUCCAGCAUCCGUCUGCAUGGAUUGCAUGCCAUCCUUGAAUCCACUCACUUGCCCAGCCCCUGAACCAACUGAUGAAUGUGGUGAAGUCUUCCCUUCGUCACCCCAGGUGCAGCCACAGCCUCUGCAGCCACCCUGGGGGAGAGACAGCUCCAGAUUCCCGCAAGGAGCAAAGAGAUUUUUGACUUUGUCUUCUUUUAUUGACAUUGAGGAGAAGCUUCUGACUCAGGCGAGCCUCACAAUAAGCUGUUUUUCAACUUCAGUAGACCCGCAGGACCUGCUAAGGUGAGGUGUUCUGGAAGGGUCUCUGCUCCUAGCAGUCACUGGCAGCUUGCCCAAAUUGGAGAAGUUUAACAUCUCUUUUCUCUGAGAAGUAAAAUGUGUUUCUUUGGUGGAUGUGAAACCAACAAACCACUGUGGUGCCUCUCUACAUCUGAAGGAUGAGCCAGCCAAGCCAGGGGAACUGACGACCCCACACACGUCUGCACUGCUGUGGCCGUGUUGAACACGGACUCCUUCUUCAGGGCAGCCUUGGGCCAUCGGAGGGCUGCUGUAUGCAGUGACGGCCACCAAGUGUCCUUGGCCAGGGGAGUGAUUUACAGGGACUGAGAUCCUGACUUGUGACCCAGACACGAAUGCAUCCUUGUUCCAUUUUGUUAUUGCUCAACCGUCAUCUGGCCAUCCCCAAAGCCCACCUCUGUGAGAAAGGCCAGUGCUUGUCCUCGUGACACCCCUGAGACCUCGAUGGAGCAAGUCCCAGGGCCCAUCAUACAUUUUUAAAGAAAAUCUUCUUUUGGUGAGAAGAUCAAAGGGCCAGGCAGAAAUGGAAAAGCACUUUCUGGCAUCAGACUUCCUCUGACUUCUCCGGUUGCCACACCACUGAAAGACUGCCCCACAGUGCGAGGGACGUCCACAUCUGCCUGGCUCUCCGAGGGAUGAACAGCCUUCAGUUCAGCUUCCUGUCACACCCCAAAAUCCACCAGGGCUCUGCAGUCAUAGAGCCCUGGAACCCAGAGGUGGAAACUUAAAGGAAUGAGUGCUCUCUCGCUCCAAAACCACAGAUAUCUGGUCCAUAGAGAACCCACCACACUUGUAUACAUUUUCAUACGUCUGCGCACAUACACAAAUGCACAAACACAUGUUCAGCUGUUGAUAAUCAUCUGAUCUUUUGCUCUUUCGAUGUAAAUAUGGCCAGAUAUCUCUGGCUUUAAUUCUCAUUAAAAUUUUGAAAGUUAUACUUUC
rnacentral:lncRNA from 1 species